AUAAUGAGAGGGAUGGUUUAUGUUGGAUUUGUCUUCCACUAAGUUGCAGUUACAUAUCAUGUAAUUGUUUUCCCUUGUUUAUAUAUCUUGUUGGAUUUGAAGUAGUUGCUAAUUAUCGCAUGUGCUUUUGCUAUUUUGUUUAUACUUCCCAUCCAGUACUUACCAAGUGUUUUGAUUUGUUGGGAAUCUAUCGUGCCCAUAGAUGAUUUUAGAUAUGGACAACUCUCCUUUCUUCCCUUUACGCUUUUGUUAGUAUUGCUUAUAUACUAGUCAUUGCCUACUUGAAAGUGGCUUGUAUCCCACUUAUGCAGAUGUUUUUCUGUUUCUUAUUCUGUAGCAUGUCUUGUAACAUGGGAAACCAGAAGAAACAUACCUCGAGUUAAGGAACUUGCGGGACAGAUCUUGAAGACGAGCCAACAGAAACUCACUUCCAAUGUUGUUGAAAAGUGCCUGUCUUAUGGUUCUCCUGAGGAGCUCCAGAUUUUAAUUAAUGAAUUGCUUGGUACUACUGAUGAGAAUGAGCCAACAGCGACGCAAUACAAUCUUCAUUGGAGUUCAUUUUUCUGAUGCAAUUUUAUACUCAGUUUGAUCACAAGACGGACAUUUGCCUGAUCAUAAUAGAAAGUUGAGAGAGAGGAAGCAGCUGCACUGACGCUAGGCUUAUAUGGGCACAACAACCGGUGCGGACUCCUAAUUGGAAGCACCAACGGAGAGGCGGAGAAUGUGUGCCAUGGUGAACAAUGCACUGUGGCAGUGGUAUCUGCUUUACAGCUUUUCUUCUCCUCUUCCCAUGAGUUGGUCAGGGGCGACAGCGUCUGUCAGUCACGCGUAUGGCAUCUGUGUGGCGGAUAUCAUGAAGAGACAGAUAUAGGUUAUGGUGGAACCCGCCCUCCACCACGGCAUCAUCUGCCCUUCACCAGAUUAUAAUUAUAAUGAAAUGCUUGGUACUGCUGAUGGUAAUGAGCCAUUACAGGCAAUGAUGAAAGACCGGUUUGCAAAAUGUGUGGUGCAGAAGGUUUUGGAGACUUCCGACAACCACACCUGUGAGCUGAUUCUUUCGCGUAUCAAGGUCCUCCUGAGUCCUGAACACAGUGAAAAGAUAGGGAUUUGUUACCUACUUCACACAUGACAAGAUACCUGGAAUUUCUCGAGUGUGAGGAGGCAUAAGCUGUAUAUCGGCAGCAAGCAUCAAGCGAUUCAACCAAAGUAGUUGAGCCUGGCUCCCUCCAACCAAUCCUUUUAGCCAUUUUGCCAGAUGGACCAUUCAAGGUGAGAUAUUAGAGGAAACUGAACCCUGAAUCAAUCAACAGGCGGUCGACUGGAGCAUGUCUUGCAACUCAGGAAACCAGAAAGACGUACUUCUAUAAUUAAGCAACUUGUGGGACGGAUUGUGAAGAUGAGCCACCAGAAGUUCACUUUCAAUGUAUUUGAGAACUGCCUGUCUUUUGAUUCUCCUGAGGAGUGCCAGAUUCUUUGAUAUGUCUGGUACCGCUGAUGAGAAUGGGCCAUUACAGGCAGUGACCGGUUUGCAAACUGUGUGGUGCAAAACGUUUUGGAGACUUGCGACAACCACACCCAUGAGAUGAUUCUUUCGCGUAUCAAUAUCCUCCUGAGUCCUGAACACAGUAAAAAUAUAGGGAUCAGUUACCUACCUCAUACAGGACAGGAGGCCUGGAAUUCUGAAUUGUGCUGAGGCAUAAGCUGUGUAAUCGGCAGCAGGCAUCAAGUAACUCAACCUGGUAGUUGAUCCUGGCUCCCUCCAACCAAUCCUUGCAACCAUUUGGCAGAUGGACCUAUCAAAGUGAGAUAUUAGAGGAAACUGAACAACACCCAAAUCAACAGGCGGUUGACCGGAGGUGGUUCAGUUCCAUCUAACUCUCACUUCAAGUGGAACAUGUACAACACAUCUAUCAUAUAGGUGCCCCCAUAUCAUCAGGCAAAUCGACCGAAAGUGAGAUAUUGGAGAAAAACAAGCUGAAAACGUCAACACUUUGAGACGGAUUUCCAGUUUGCAUUUCUCCAACACUCACUUUCAGUGCCCUGGACAACAACACCUGAAAACAAUACUAGCAUAGCUGCUCAACUAUUGAUUUGGUUCGGGUCAGGAUUUUAUAGCUGCUCAACUGGUAAAUGGAGUCCUGGCUUUCUGUUGGGCCAGCCAACCCGUCAUGCCAAUCGUGUGUGCUCGUCCUGCAUCAACCUUGUGCUUUCGGUUUCAGAACCCCACCCUCGUUGUACAAAGUAGAUGAGAGUAAUUUUCUGGUAGACCUUCCCAGGACAGAACAGUGCUCAAGCCUAGUUUCUCCUUCUCUCUUCCCAAAGCAUGCUCAAGGUUAAAGUGUCAAGACUCAGUUUAUUACUGCAACUCAUUCUGGCCAGAGGCAUUUGCUUAAUGUCUAUCAUUUUUUCACAUUUCAGAAAGGCAAAUUGAUAUCAGGGGUCUCGUCACAGUUACAGAGAUUGAAGUUUGCUCCUAAAGAUUUCAAUCAUUUUAUUUCAGAAAGGUGUAAAUAAAAAGGAUUGGGCGAGUGAGGCUUUUUGAUUCCCGGGCUCCAUCGAACCCGAAUUCUUCAAUUUUUUUUUGACUUCUUAAGUUUCAAAAGGAAAAUGUAAAAAUAAACUCCAGUACUUAUAGAGGUAUACUUGAUGUGUGUACAAUUUCAUUAUGAAAUGCACUUUGAUGUGAGCUGUACAGGGAAAAAAAUCAUGUACUUUUAUAGUGAGUAAUACAUGUGUUAGAAAUACAUGGUUUUGUUA